UUUAUGCCUGCACCAUUCUGACAGAACUUCCACAGGGACAGUUCAGUCGGCUGCCUCACUGGGGACUUCCAUCCUGGCAGUGCCUGGGCUCCUCAGGAAGACAGUGGUCAGUUGAGUCCUUGCCAAGCCAGGCUGGCUUCGAGGAGGAGUGAUUGAGGCGAUUGUUUUCAGUGGCUUUGCGACAAGAUCCCACAUUCAGCCUGAUAAUGCAGACUCUUUCAAGGUCAGUCCUCUGGGCUCCAUCUAUAAAACAAAUGUUUGUCAUCCUCCGCAUCUUUGCCUUUUUUCCCGUUGGGGUACCCAGCCACCGGCAGGGUCCAUCCGCAGGGAAGCAGCUGAGGCUCCUCGCGCCAGAUGUAGAACCAAGAUGACAGAAAGGCCAGACACCGAAAACCCAUUUGCAUAGUAAUUGAAAUGUUUUUCCAAUUUUUUUUUGAGUUGUUAGAGUUCUGAUUCCAGGCUGCAGAAAGGAAAGGCAGAUUCUCAUUUUCACUUGGCUUAUUCCUGAUUUGUACCACUGGGGGUUUUAAUUUACAAGUCAAAGUUAAUAAAUUGAGUAUGCACUCGAUGAUUCCAAGCUCCUUCCGACCUCCUUCCCAGCCUGUGAGACCCCGUGGCUCAUCUCCUGGGGUUGAGGGGGAAUCUCAGUGGACUUUGAAGCUUAGUCUGCAAGGACCUCUCUCCCAAACCCGAGGGCAGCAUCCCUGCCCCCGGGAGCCCCUUCAGGGAGCCCGUGGCCUCUGCCUGCCUUCUCACAGAUGGGUUUGGGUAAAAUAAAUAAAACAUGGAUGGAUUAGUUCAGAAUAAAAAAGGAGGAAUCUGGCUCAAGAUGUUAUCAACAGUAACAACCACCAGGGCUCUGAGCGCCGUUCAUCACUAAGCAUGUCCAGUGCUCUAUGGCCAUUAAAGGAGCCCCCUGGGAGGGAAGGCACCUCGGUUCCAGUCUAGCGAGGGCACUGUGGCCACAGAGCUGCACGAGGCUGAAGCCCAUGUCUGCCCAGAGCCAGCCUCCGUUUCCCAGACCCUGAGGACCACUUUCCCAAAAGGCUCCACUGCUGGUGUGUGUGGGGGCAGCCUGAGUCAGUGAGCCUGGAAAGUUCUAGGGACAUCUGGAGUCCACCUGUCUCCCAAGAGAGGAGUUCCUCAUCCCUCUCCAGUGGCUGCUUGAUAAGUCACUCUCUCUUCCUACACGCUGGGUGAAUGUGCUGCUUCUGAAAAGAGAAUAUUUAUUUUUUGAGAUAGGGUCUCACGCCCUCCUAUGUUGCAUCAUUCCUCAGUGCCCAAAACGGUGCCUGGAACAGAGAGGUGCUCCACAGUUAUGGAGGAAUUGAAUGAAUGAAUGAAAAUUUAAAGAAGAAGGUAGGAGAGGAUCCAUGCAAGGGGCUGGUGGCUUCUCUGCUUCCUGAUUCUGUUUCUUCAUCCCCUCCUGGACACCUGGGCUCUUACAGAAUUGGUUUGUGCAGUGUGAAAGGAAAAUCAAUCUUGGGACCCUAAAAUCACUAAGGUCCACAAAGGGAAAAGUCAAGCUGGGAACUGCUUAGAGCAAACCUGCCUCCCAUUGUAGUCCUAAAAAAGAUGGCUACUAAGAUAAAAAAGCCACAUACCUCCCUCACAAGAAAUUUCCUUGUGGACCAAGGACAGACAGAACUCAAAGUCAUCCCUCUGUUCACUGAGAUGAAUGCAUAUCUGCCUCCUUUGGAGAGGCUCAUCAGAAACGGAAAAGAAUGCAACCAUUUGUGUCUUAUCUACCUAUGACCUGGAAGCCCCUCCCCGGUUCCAGUUGUCCCACCUUUCUGGACAGAAGCAAUGUACAUUUUACAUAUAUUGAUUGAUGUCUCAUGUCUCCCUAAAAUACAUAAAACCAAGCUGUGCCCCAACCACACUGGGCACAUGUGGUCAGGACCUCCUGAGGCUGUGUCAUGGGCAGGCACCCUUAUCUUUGGCAAAAUAAACUUUCUAAAUUGACUGAGACCUAUCUCAAAUGUUUGGGAUUCACAGCAGGGAAUGAUGGAGGAUUGGAAAGUGCCUCGAGGGGAGGAGGGCUGCUCUUUGCUGUGAGGCUCUGUUCGGGUGCACAUUUUGGGAGCUG
rnacentral:lncRNA from 10 species